rnacentral:rRNA from 1 species
CCUACGGGAGGCAGCAGUCGAGAAUCAUUCACAAUGGGGGAAACCCUGAUGGUGCGACGCCGCGUGGGGGAAUGAAGGCCUUCGGAUUGUAAACCCCUGUCAUGUGGGAGCAAAUAAAAAAGAUAGUACCACAAGAGGAAGAGACGGCCAACUCUGUGCCAGCACCCCCGGUAAUACAGAGGUCCCAAGCGUUGAUCGGAAUCACUGGGGGUAAAGCGUGCGUAGGGUGUUGCGUCAGUCGAGUGUGAAAGGCGCGGGCUCAACCCGCGUACGGCACAUGAUACUGCGAGACUAGAGUGAAGGAGGGGGAACCGGAAUGCGCGGUGUAGCGGUGAAAUGCGUAGAUA